UACGUAGGGGGCGAGCGUUUGUCUGGAUUUAUUGGGCGUAAAGAGCGUGUAGGCGGCCAGGUAGGUCUGCUGUGAAAACUCGAGGCUCAACCUCGAGACGUCGGCGGAAACCAUCUGGCUAGAGUCCGGAAGAGGAGAGUGGAAUUCCUGGUGUAGCGGUGAAAUGCGCAGAUAUCAGGAAGAACACCCGUGGCGAAGGCGGCUCUCUGGGACGGUACUGGACGCUGAGACGCGAAAGCUAGGGGAGCGAACGGG
rnacentral:rRNA from 1 species